ACGUUGUGGAGGGGGCCGCGCAACCCCAGGUUGCAAGAAACUGCCGCGCGCGCGAAGGCCCUCGGCGAGGGGGACGUCGGUGAGAGGCUCUCUGGUAUACGUGACUGUUCGGCUCGCCGCUGCUACCACCACCGUUGCUGCCACCGCCGCUGCCGCCGCCACCGCCGCCGCCACCGCCGCCGGGGCGCACAGCUGGCGCAGGAGGGAAACAACGUCGUGGGCUCCGUGACCACCAGACGCGCCUGGAGAACGACGAUGGAUGAUGCGCAGCUGCGACGAACAAGGAUGAAGUGGGGCAGGUCGAAGAAGAGUUUCAGUCUCCGCGGAAAACGAUACCUUGCAUGGCUAGCAGGCAGGCAGGCAGGCGGACGAGCAGCCAUCAGACGGACCGGAAGGUAUCGAGAAUAUAUCGAGGAGAAAAUUUUGUCUCUUGCGCAUCACUUUCCUCAAGCAAUCCUUCACGUACGCGAGUGAAUCACCUCGCCUACGAUUUACACGUUAUUGAUCGGCAAAUUCAAACAAUCAGCAGAAUGAGACAUGAUGCAAACGGAGUUGGACUUCAAAUUAAUAUUGAUUUUAAACUGUAAUUCACAGUCUACUUUUGCAAGUUACAGUUGGAGAACGCUCUCUACGUCGCAUUUUCAAUAGAUUGCGAGAUCUAAUUACUUUUUUCCAAUGAGUUUACUGAGGCAAGAGAAAAGUAAGAGCAUCAUACGUUUCUGAGACCGCGUUUGUUGACAUCACGCCCAGAUAGCAACGAGAAAGGCGAAGCAAAGGGAGAGAGAAAGAGAAAGAGAGACGAGAGACGAGACACGCUCUCUCGUCGAGGGGGAGUAAAAGGAUCGACCGUGGGUCGAAGCGUCGACCAACGCGAUACAUCCUCCUCUCAUCCUUUCCGCGAUGCUCACAUGAUAGUUUCACGUGUAAGGAGAUUAGCUGUAACGAUCGAGCAGGAAUUAAAGUAUUGCGCACCAUGUCGCGCGAUUGUCUAUAAUGUUCUCUCCUAAUUUACAUCGAUACGUAUUUUAACUUUAAAUGCGCGCGAUGUCACGUUUUUAUCGCGCGAAAAAUUACUCUCAUAUUUUUAAUGUCGAAUCUUCGACAACACUUUGCGCAUCUGCGGCGAAAAUAUGCAGCUGCGACUGCAUCGACGCCAUCUUUAUUGCAUCAUAUCAGCACAAUUUUGCAAGGACGACUGACUUGAAAGUGGGCGAGUGAGAGAUAGAAAUUCUUUCUUGUCAUGAGCGCAUAAUAUUUUGUAAAAGACAUCUUGAGCCAAACUCACAUGUCCAAUAUUAAGAUAUAAAACGUCUUAAAAAUGUCACUAUACCUUUUAAAUAUGGUAACUCAAGAUAUCUUUAUAUUAUUUUAAUGAAAUCUUUAUAACGUCUUAUGUUCUGAACAUUAUGUUAUUCAAAACCGCUUUUCUAUAGAAAUAUAUAUACAAUUAAUCUUUUCUUUAUAUUUUUUUCAUUUUUUGUUUCUCCCCUUUUAUGUACAAGAUCUGACUUAAAAAAGGUAAAAAUCUCGUAAAAAUUGUCUGACAUUAUAAAGCAUUUUUCUAUUUACUUGCAUUAUCACAUUUCAAAUAAUAAAACACAGAACGUUAGUAAAUUUCUUGUCUAGAAAUAUAAUACUUAAGAAAAGGUACAAGAACUGUCAAUGCGACUUAUGCGUAAAGAAUGUUGACUUUUGAAAUCCCAACAUCUAUAGAUACAAAAUGCUCUCUUCCUCUUUAAUGAAAAAAUUAUUCUUUCUUAAGAACUUCUACUUUUGCCAUAAUUUUAUUUUCGAAGGUUUAUUUGCAGAUAAAAUAGCAAAAUAGUCAAGUAUCUUGAUCUAUUCAAGCAGCAGAAUAAUCAAAUAUUUGUAUCUAUUAAAAUAAUAUUUUUUUCCUCGAUUACUCGGCCAAGAAUAUACGAAUUAAUUGAAAAUAGAAAAAGCAUCCUGAAUGACUUUAAGAAGAUUGUUCACUGAAUACUUAGAAUCACCAACACUCUCCAGAUACAUUAAUCUUUCAAGAACAGAAAAUGUAUAGAAAAUUCGUUUAAUAUUUACAUAUAAUAAAUAACAAUUAGCUUUGCACGCACUUGUAAGUCUAGAAAAUCUGAGACUUAGGCCAGUAUAUUCAUAGUCGAGUCUUAUUUUAAGAUCGUCUCAAGUAAUGUCUUAAGAUGCUAAUACGGUGCUCUGUGAUUAGUUGAUGACAUCUUAAGAUACUUAAGAUGAUCUUAAAUAUAAGAUUCGACUAUGAAUACUAGCCUUAGUCAUAAUAGUAUGGUGAAUAAAAAAACAUUCCAAUGUUCCUAAUGUUCAUAUCAAAUUAGAAAAAAAUGUUUUAUAUCGUCUAUAGUAUUUAUAAAAGAGUGAUUUUCAUUUCUUUAAUAAAUUAAAUAUUAUAAAAGAACUAAUUUUGCAAAGUGCUUCUAAAAUAUUUAAUUUAUUGUAAGAAGUGGAAGGUAGAUAUAAAAGACCUAAAUCUUAGCUACUCAGACACUCCCUUUAGUCUUUCAAAAAAUCGGUACAAAAAUUUUCAAGAGAUUCUUUCUCAAGAUAUCAUUUCUUCGAAGAUCUUUUCGAACUGCUCAUUACAAACAAAGAGAAGAAUACCUUUUGAUGAUAUCUUUGGUACACAUGGAUGCGCUAGGUGGUUCACCCUUCGAGAAAGAGAGAGAGAGAGAGAGGAGAGAGAGCACAUCACUCACGUGGUUCCUCUGGUCUCUACUUCUCUUUCUCUUCUCGCCUGGUCUUCCUCUUAUCGUCGGCGAAAGAGUACGAGAGAGAAAGGGUGAUAAAAAGAGAAAGGGCGAAGCCCGCGCGGUCGAGAGCGGAGAGGGGAAACACCCUUCAUCCUUGAGGUGGGGUCACCCCGCAGCUACCGCUUCGCCGGGAUCAAUACCCACCACCCCGACCAAAGUCCAAGCCACUCUCUCUCUUUGCCUGCGCCCACUCUGUCUGCCUGCCAAACCUGCCAAGUCGCGCGCUCGAGUCUCCAGGGAAGACAUCGAACGGCAUCUUCCAAGCUCUGGAAGCUUCUACGAUCUGACCGAUCUAGGGAUCGUUCAUUCACGAUUCAGGUCGAACAGGUCACAAAUCUGUUCGGUUCUUUCGAACUGGUUUUAAAUUAAACUCUCUUUCUCCGUCCACAUCGUGACGACACGACGCGACGUCGACGUUAGCUUCUUCGACCUGUUGCUCGCAAAUCGCUGAUGGACAAAAAAUUCACUUGGCGAUUUGAGUCUAUUCAAACGAUAUAAAAAUAUAGGUUCUUUGCAGAUAGUUCGUACCUUCUAAAUUACAAUCAGUAGAAAACUCGAUAAAAUCAGUGAAAAUACUUAUAAUCAUCACAUAAAGACAGUGAAUAUUCACCGAUUAUCAUCAUAGUUAUAAGCAUGCCACUGCAAAUCAGUGAAUAUCCACUGAUUACGACUUAGUAAGUAUAUCAACCAAUAUGUGCUCUCGAAAUCUUAGUUCUGGAUUACCUAUCCGGUGAUACACAGAAUGAAACACAUAAUGGUCUCUGAGAUCCCCAAUAUUAGCGGCAAACACUGGCUCGCGUUUUGUGUAGUUCUUUGUAUUACUAUCACAAUUAAAUAUAUAUCAUAGUCUCGAAGAUAUCUCCGAUCAUUUUCAAAUAAGAAAACAAACAAUUCGACGCUGAUGUAUUUCUAUAUUAGAAUACAAAUUUUCUUUUAAUUAUAAUUGGUAGGGUCUAUAUCGUUGAAAAUACAGCUAAUAAAUUAUAACAUUAAAUUAAAAUGUCAGCAAUGACUCGAAAUUGAUUUAAAUGUGCGUGAAGAAACGUGAUAUUCAUAUAAAGAUAGCAGCUGUUUUUGCAUCUAGGUGUUUACAUAGGUACCACAAGAAUCAACAUUCUCUUGUGUUGCUUGGUCCCUAUAAUAAAAUGCCGUUCGAAAAAUCCGCGAAUAUUCUAUUGGAUUCCUAAUGAAAUCAAUUUAGACUGGGAACCACUAAGAAGAGAAUCUGGUUUCAUAUUCGAGUUUGACGAGUAAUAGACUUCGUGUAUGUCUUCCUGCUUCGUAAAUGCAUGAAAUGCACCAAUACUACGAAGUUCUAAUACAAGAAAUUAUGCAAACGAUGAUAUUGAUCUAAAUCUUCCAACCAACCCGAGCCAACCCUCGAUCUUGACUCGGAAUUUCCUGACGUGCGUUUAAUUUUACUAAUAAAUAUUUAAUGCAGUAAGAAUUCUAAUGAUAAGCAGACCCUCGUAAUAGUAUCAUUAACUUUUUUAGAUAAUUAAUAUUGACAAUAAUAAUAAGUUAAUUAUUGGACCAAUAAAUGUCUUAAACAUAAAGUUAAGAUUGCCUAUUUCGGUCUGCAGCGAAUCUUGAUACUGAAUAUAAUUUUUCUAUUAAUUUAAUAUUCUUAACUUAUAUUAAUCGCGUACUGACAAUUUUGUCAGUCUUGAAACACAUUUAUUAACUAAAUAUCGAUGCUCAAAAGCACCUUUAAGAUCCUCCUUUCCCCAAAAAUUAAUAUUAAUUUUUGCUCUUAUUUUAAAUUUUAAGAAGACAAUCAAUUAAUAAAAUUUUGUUCAUUGUCGGCACAACGAUGCGUGAAACAAUCAGUGCGUCGAAGAGCGAAGGAGAAGGUCAAGGAAAUCUAGCAUUUUAUACGCGUUCACCAUAGGCUUCGCUUCGCUUCGGGAACCUGCUCUAUCCGACUCUCGUUAUAGCGACGGUCGCGGCGGCUGCGGCGGCGCGAGAGGGGUCAGAGUCCGUUCAGAGGGCGACGAAAUUGCGAAGGGGAUCGCCGGAGGGGGGGGACGAACGAGAGAGAGAUAGAGAAGAGACCGGAGGGUGGCUUGAUCCGAGGGUGGCGGCGAUGCUGGUCGUGACGGUGGGUGGCGAUGUUGGUGAUGGUGAUGGCGGCUUUGGCAGUGCGCGAUGCUGGUAACGGACGUUACCAAGCCGCCUUUGGAUCACACACGCCGAAAUGACGUCAUUCUCGGGCGUUACCAGGAUAAUAUCAAGGAUUCGAAAGACGAAGAAGACACGCUGCGUAGCGGCCUCUGGAUCUCCGAGCGAUUAAUCGUGAUUGGAAUUUACGACGUUUCGUAACUCGACAACGAUAAUCCGAAGAAUCCUAAACAGAUCUAAUAUCUGAUAAAAGGAAAUAAGAAAAUUCUUACAAGUUUAGAUUAUUUUUAAAGUCAAUUUUCUUACUUUAUUGGAAGGGAGAAGGGGUGACAGGAUUUGUCCAAUUCGAGAGUUACAAAACCAUCAAAAAUAGAAUAGUAUUUCUUAAUGUUAAAUUCUCACAAAAUACGUCAGUUUCGCACGCAACUAUUUUUUUUUUAAUUCUUUGAAGGCCACGCCUAUGAGUCCCAUCGCUCAACAAUAAAAACGUUUCAAACAUGUAAUCGAAGAAAAUUUGUUAUAGAAUAUUUUUAAGAUUUUUCACUGUUCUCCAAUUUCAACUCGUUCAAAUAUAAACAGACAUUGAAUGCUUUACAUUUAUUUUUUAAGCAUUGUCCUUAUAAAAGAGAAUUUUUGCUUAAAAAAUUUUUUGGCACUUUUUCGGGCAAUGCAUAACUGAAUCGUGUACUUUGGAAAAAUAAUACUCUACCUAGAAUUUUUUUUCUUUUAGCACAUGUCUGCAGGCAUUAAUUUAUGAUCUUAAAAAAAGUAAAAAGGUGUUCAACAAAUACUUUUCGUUACCAAUGCUCCUCUUCUCGCAUGUUAUUUCACACAAAAGGACCAAUAUUUCGACACACAGGUAGCAAAAAAUAUUGUGUGCAACAUGUGCGAAUUGGCUAUUGUCCAUAAGAGUGCGGGGGGACACACUCGUCUUCGUCUCACGCGUCCAUAUCCCGCAAUUUACGAGCAAUUAGCAGAUUCAUCGUCCUAGUUGCACAAAUAAUACCUUCAUAAUACCUCAAUGUUUCCAACAUUCUCACCUGGGCAAUAUUUCAAUAAUACCCGAUUCAAAGAUGUACAAUUCCGAACGAAUACAUCGAAUCUCUUCAACUUUCUUAAUACGAUCUAAAUUCGAUCUAAAUUUGCGUAAAAAAAACACCUCUUUCGGCAAGGAGGUCGAUGCAAUCACAAAGGCACCGAAGCGUUUUUCCCGCAGCAAGAGAAAGCGAGACUUAAGAAGUCUACAGGUUCUAGAUAAAGAUAUCCGCCAUUUUGGUACCAACUGGAAUACCCUUGUGAAUAUAGAGCAACACAAAGAGAGGCAGGCGGCGUGUUUUCGUGCGCGUGCGAUGUCCAUGUGAAAGCUGAUGCACGCACACAAAACACGCGGUACACGGGCGCGCGCGCGCCGAGUUCUCAACCUGACAUCUGGUGCGGUCUCGGCCUUCGCCCAACAGACCGGCGAACAAAAGAAUUUUCUAUUUCUUCGAGGUCUUACCUUCGAAGGUUCUAACAUGAAAUAUUUCUGACUUCAAGGUUAAAUAUAUAAUGUCUAAGGUCAUUUGCCAAGAUAAUGCCCCCGUUAGUGGACAGUGAUCAGUGGAAAUCGUUAUGCUUAAAAGAUAUGUGGUUCGCGUCAAGAACCUCUUUCCAUUGGGACACGCUGAAAUCCAAAUAGGUACAUUGCUGAGUCAUUGGAUUCGAUUGUGGAAUCUUCUACUUUUUCUUACACGUGCAUUCUGGGUCCGUUAAUAAACCAAGAUCGAAUCGAGCUCUCUCAAACAUAGGUAAAAUUAAUAAAAUCACGCGCCGACGAAGAGCAAGAUGCUUGAGGAACGCGAGUCGGGGAAAAAAUAUUAAACGAGCGCAGAGAAUCGGAGGUGCGGUCCCGUGAAACCGGGAUAGUCGAGACGACGGAUGGAUCGAGCCCUUCCAGCCGGAGUGGUUGGUCUUCGACGAUGACUGCACGUAACGACCCUACAGCGGUACCGUUUCUAUGGUACCGUUCGUGGGGAUUAACCCCUCUUGCGUCGUCGCUCUACUUUCAUCCGGCGGCAGCGACGGCUGCUGCUGCUGCUGCUGCUGCUGUUGCUGCCGCCGCCGCCGCCGCCGCCGCCGCUGUCACGGGGUGAGACCAGCCUUGGCCUGGGACCAUGGAAACUGGAUAGCCUUCCCGUGAAACACGCGCGCGCAUAUGUAUUGGUCGAUUAUAAUUAUACCGCGUCGUGGCUACUACGCGGCUACUUCGAGAGGCAGUUCGGAAAAACGCUUGUCGCACGUCGAUCCAUCGAUCGAAAAAUAAAUCGCGUCUCCGAUAUGGUAGCUCUUCCAGAAACUAUCUUGGAUAACAGUUACGAAGCUGAUAAAAUAUUAUAUUAACCGUGUAAAAACUCUGUGGAACAUUUUAAUAGAUAAGAAAAAGGAAAAGCAGGAAGAAAGUAAAAAAAAAAAGACAGUUUUUAUAUCAAAAGAACGGACUUUACGUACUUAGAUAAAAUGUCUUCUUUCUAUAAUAAAUAACUUUUUGAAGUUUUUGAAAUAUUCGAUCAAUGAACUAUUGCAGAUUAGCUUAUAAAAUAUUUAUAUGUGAAAUGAUAAAGAGCGAUGCAAUGCAAAAUACAAUUUUAUCGAUAGCAACACGGCAGGUACCAAAGAGAAAACGUCACGUUAUUUAAUUGUAAAUAUAUAUUUAAGCAACAAAGUCAGGAGGUACUCACACAGUAGAGGAUAAUGAACCAAUGACAAAUGUUUGAAUGUUUCUAAAGAAUUCUAUCCCCUUCUAUUUAUUUAGCGAUGAUAAUAAAGAAUGAAGAAUGCAAAGGCAUAAAAGGAGAAAUUUGUAUUGAAGGUAAUGCAUCACGGUGCUAGACUACUGAAUUGUUGGUUUCCAUAGUUAGUAACUACGUGGAAAAAUAAACAGUAAGAUGGUAUUAAUCGCAAUCGUGAGUCGAACAUAGUCAUAAAAUAAAUGUUUUUAUCACUUUUAACCAUCGUUGUAGAUACAUUUAACAGCAAAAAAUGUAACUAUAGAGGAAAUUAGAUAAAUUUAAUCCCUGAAAUUUUCUUGCGCACGUUCGAGUGCUUUUCAUUGAUUUAAACGCGAUGCUUUUUUUUCUAUAGGCCUGUUCUUUGUCGUUGCACUGCUGUACUAUAAAAUAAGUUAAAAUGAGAAAAAAUAUAUUUGUUUUAUUCUAACUAAUUGCACCAGUGCAGCAGUGCAGCAACAAAGAACAGGCCUAAUAUAUGUACAAGCGAAGAUCGAGAUAGUAAGAUUUGAUAGCGUCUUGAUAAAAUCAUCACAAACGCAGUACUGCGCGAGACCUUAUGCCUGACAUCAUCAAUAGCAUAUUGUCGUCGUUUAACCUUCGUGUCAUCGAAGCAUUGAUACUGUGAUUAUGGUAACUGACAAAAUUAUUUAUUUUUCUGUCUGUUCGCACGAUAUCUUCUGCAUGCAACAAAUAUGCAUAUUUUAAGAAAAAAAAA
rnacentral:lncRNA from 1 species